GCGCUCACUUCGGCAGUACAUAUACUAAAAUGGAACAAUACGAGAGAAGAUUAGCAUGGCUCCUGGACCACGGAAGACCAGCCAAAUUCAUGAAGCGCUCCAUAUUUUU
rnacentral:snRNA from 1 species